UCCAAGUAAAUCAUCUACUAUAACAGAAGGUGUUUCUAAAUCUCAUACUAAGUCAUUACCUCAAACAAGGGAGAAGAAUGUGAUUCUUUUACCUAAAAAGAAGCAGAUUUUUUGUUCUUCUCUUACUCGAGAAGUUCUUGACUUGAAAUUGGAGAAAAUGAAGCAUGACCAACAUAAGAAAAGAUAAAAAAAAAAAAAAAGAAGAAGAAGAAGAAGAAAGUGGUGUGCUUGUAAUAUCGAGAUGAAUUUAUGAAUUUGUGAAUUUAAUGAAAGAGACAAACUUGUACAAUGAUUAUUGAUUAAAGAGGCUAUAAAAAUUUUAUUUUGUGAA